GGAGGAGGAAGGCUAUUAAAUAUAAAUAAGAAGUAACAUCCUGCUCUAUGGAAACUCAAAGCAUGAUGUUCUAGAGGAAAGACAGAACACAAUACCUGCCCUCCAGCUGUACCUGUAUCAAGGGGACUCACAUCAACUGCCUCUGCCAGCGCCAGGAGCUGCCAACACCCCUUCCCAACAGGCUACAGCUUGGAAGGCCACAAAGAGAUUCACUUAGAAAGCAGAAGGAUGAAGAAAGGAGCAGAGGAGGAGAAGGGUAAGAAAUAUGUACUGACCACAGCCUCCUGCACCUCCUUCUCAUCUGGUGGGCCUGAACAUAGCCUGUGGAGAGGACAAGGGAAAUGAAGGCAAGGAAGCAGAGAGGAGGAAACUCCAGAGAGAUGUAGAGCCUGGGGAAGGAAGAG
ensembl:lncRNA